UACGUAGGGGGCGAGCGUUGUCCGGAUUUAUUGGGCGUAAAGAGCUCGUAGGCGGUUUGGUAAGUUGGAUGUGAAAUCUCCAGGCUCAACUUGGAGGGGUCAUUCGAUACUGCCAUGACUAGAGUUCGGUAGGGGAGUGUGGAAUUCCUGGUGCAGCGGUGAAAUGCGUAGAGAUUAGGAAGAACACCAGUGGCGAAGGCGACUUACUGGACUGUAACUGACGCUGAGGCAUGAAAGCGUGGGGAGCAAACAGG
rnacentral:rRNA from 1 species